rnacentral:lncRNA from 1 species
GAUACAAUGGAAAAGAAAUUGAUAGGUUAUAAAAACCUGAACUUAACUAAGAACAGGGAGUUCUCAAUGUUCUUGUAGUCCAGAACAUAUGUUGUAGAUAAAGUUACAAAAAUUUACAUUCAAUGCAAUCAAGAAUUCAAAUUAUGCAGAGCCUUGACAAGACAAAUGGGUACAUUGACCAAUCUAAAUAAACUUUUUCUUUCCAUAGCUAAAUCUACUGUUGCAAAUAAUUUAACUAGUAAGCUUUCUCAGAAGUCAAAAUCUUCCGGAGGAAAGCAACCGUAGAACUAACAUUACCCUUGAGCUUUCAGGAAACAUAUUGACUACCUCAUUAUUUAUUCCCUUCACUAACAUGGAAAUCCAACAGCCAUAUAUUUAUUAUACUGAAAUGACAUAAAUGCUUAGGAGCUCAAACAGGGAGAAACAUAAAUCUCAUGCAACUGAAAAAAUGAAGUAAAUAUAUUUUUUAUAUAAGAAGAGAGUAGUCUCCUAAUAAAACUAAGGGCAACAACAGUUGUACUACUAUUACUAUUACGCCUCAAUUUCCAAGCUAGUGGGUUAGCUAUAUGAAUCCUCACUAACCAUUUCAGACUACCAAAGCUAAAUAUAGAAUAUAAAUCCUUGACAGGCAGAAUAUAAAGUAUAAAGCUCCCACCCAACUGCAAAAAUUAGAAUAUAGUUUCUGUGACUUCUUGCAUUUUAUUAAUCACUGAGAGAAGUUGAAGUAUUAAGUAUGUCCAAACUACUACAAAUUUCAAAUAACAUGAGAUGAGUAAGGACGAGGGGCAAGUAUAUAUAGUUUUUCCUUAACUUUUCCUCCUAUUAAACCCAAUGGACCUGUUUUGUAGCAAAAAGAUGCAAGACAUAUUUAUUGGGCACCCGAAGUUAUUGGUCAUCCAUUGCGUAUCUUAUAGGAAAUGAAGUACCAUGCAACAGUCAUAGCAACAUCUGCAAUUUAUGAUCAUGACUUUUAUUCUUUUAUUUUUUAUUUUUGGUUGAUGAAUAUGGUCAUAGUUCAAUUUAUUCAACCAUCCUAAAGCUCUAAGGUCAAACUUUCAGUUGGUGUGGAAAAAGCCUCUUAUUUGAGAGGAUCAGUUUAGUGAAGGAAGCUUACAUAAGACCUUGUUAAUAACCCCAAGGAACAAGAGAAUUAUCAAACAUAUAAUGUCACCAGUUAUUAUACAAAGAAAAGUUAAUUUAGAGAGGUGAGGUUUACCUCAUACAUAGCCUUUUUCAUCUCCAAACACGUAGCUUCAAAUUUCUGCUAUACAUUGGAUCAUUUUAGUUCUUUUAUCUGCUUGCAGAGUUCAAUGGGAGAAUAAAUAACGGUAUUUCAUCAAACAAUUGGCAUGCACUAUACACAUAAGUAAAUACAGUAAAAAUAAUCUUACAAGUUUGUCUGUGCACAAGAAUAAGAUUAAAACAACAGAAAAAAACUAAAAUUGCAAUGGUAAGAACCAAAAAUAAAAGGCAGCAAGGGGGAUCUGUUAUACCUUUUAGAGUUGUAGAAUAGUGAAGCAAAGAGCACUAGGACUUGAGAUAUAAGAGUGAGGAGAUUUAUAUAGCGAUCACCAACGAAGUUAGGGAUCGUUUAAAAUUACUCAAAGCUUUGGCCCCUAAAAUUCUCUAUGCAACAACCCUAACAAUUUAAGCAACGACUAGGUACUGGUAAACUAUUGCUGACUUCACAAUGGUAAAAUAUAAAGUGAGAUCUGCAGCAUAUCAAUGAACAACGCAAGGAAACAAAAUCUGUACGAGUUAUGCAAUCAAUUCUUGAAAAAUAAACCUAGUGAAUGUUAUUCCACCUUUAAUUUCCCACCAGCAAAAUUAGGGUUUGACUGUCGAAGUCUAUGGGCUGCGAGAGAGAGAGAGAGAGAGUAGUGGUAGAUGAGUUGUAAUACGAUGGUGCCCUGUGAUGGGGAGACAGAGCAACGACGGUUGGGCAGCAGCGAUGAGAGCAGAGACGAGAUAGGUUGGACAGCAGCGAGCGCG